rnacentral:rRNA from 1 species
CUACGGGUUGCUCCAGUGGGGAAUAUUGCACAAUGGAGGAAACUCUGAUGCAGCAACGCCGCGUGGAGGAUGACGCAUUUCGGUGUGUAAACUCCUUUUAUAUGGGAAGAUAAUGACGGUACCAUAUGAAUAAGCACCGGCUAACUCCGUGCCAGCAGCCGCGGUAAUACGGAGGGUGCAAGCGUUACUCGGAAUCACUGGGCGUAAAGCGCGCGCAGGCGGCUAGAUAAGUUGGAAGUGAAAUCCUAUGGCUCAACCAUAGAACUGCUUCCAAAACUGUUUAGCUAGAGUCUGGGAGGGGAAGAUGGAAUUAGUAGUGUAGGGGUAAAAUCCGUAGAGAUUACUAGGAAUACCAAAAGCGAAGGCGAUCUUCUGGAACAGUACUGACGCUGAGGCGCGAAAGCGUGGGGAGCAAACAGGAUUAGAUACCCCAGUAGUC